GUAGUUAAUCUGGUAAAGGAUGUGGAGACAAUAGUUUGCCUUUUCUUAACCUGGGAGCAGGCUUCAGAAAUUUUGAAGGCUGGAUUUGGUGAAAAGGGCUCUGCAUUUGGAUGUUUAUGGUGGCAUCCACCUGUCAAAUGAGAUAAUUCAGGAACCUUAUUAUAUUUUGGAAAAUUUUGAAAUUUGAAUGUAUUGUUUGUAGCCAGCAGCAAUGGUGGUGGUGAUCUGAAUUUCUUAUGUUUUAGGGUUGAUUGAGUAGUAAGUGUAGCUGCAUCUCAUGAUGGUGAGAUAAGAACUUGAUGCUCACUUUGUCCAUGGGUGGGGGAGGGGGGCCUACAUAUUCAAAAGAAAGGAUGGGUAGGUCUGUACAGUUUUGCAUUGUAUUCAGCAAUAGUUGUUCAUGUAGUGUAGUGCAGGGCCAGGGGUCAGGGGCCAGUGGUAAAAAAAGUGGCUAGUGGUAAAAUGGCUGAAAGUUAUUAUAAUGGAAGAGGCAGGCAGCUUUUUUAAAUCAGGUCUUUUGUAAAAGGUAUGUUGAUUAUGAUAUUUGGAGCUUCUAUAUUCCAUA